rnacentral:rRNA from 1 species
GUGCCAGCAGCCGCGGUAAUACGUAGGUGGCAAGCGUUAUCCGGAAUUAUUGGGCGUAAAGCGCGCGUAGGCGGUUUUUUAAGUCUGAUGUGAAAGCCCACGGCUCAACCGUGGAGGGUCAUUGGAAACUGGAAAACUUGAGUGCAGAAGAGGAAAGUGGAAUUCCAUGUGUAGCGGUGAAAUGCGCAGAGAUAUGGAGGAACACCAGUGGCGCAGGCGACUUUCUGGUCUGUAACUGACGCUGAUGUGC